ACGGAAGGCAGCAGUGGGGAAUAUUGGGCAAUGGGCGAAGGCCUGACCCAGCAACGCCGCGUGAAGGAAGAAGGUCUUCGGAUUGUAAACUUCUUUUAUGAGGGACGAAGGACGUGACGGUACCUCAUGAAUAAGCCACGGCUAACUACGUGCCAGCAGCCGCGGUAAUACGUAGGUGGCAAGCGUUAUCCGGAUUUACUGGGUGUAAAGGGCGCGUAGGCGGGAAGGCAAGUCAGAUGUGAAAUCCAUGGGCUUAACUCAUGAACUGCAUUUGAAACUGUCUUUCUUGAGUGCUGGAGAGGUAGACGGAAUUCCUUGUGUAGCGGUGAAAUGCGUAGAUAUAAGGAAGAACACCAGUGGCGAAGGCGGUCUACUGGACAGUAACUGACGCUGAGGCGCGAAAGCGUGGGGAGCAAACAGGAUUAGAUACCCUGGUA
rnacentral:rRNA from 1 species